rnacentral:rRNA from 1 species
UACGGGGGGGGCAAGCGUUGUUCGGAAUUACUGGGCGUAAAGGGCUCGUAGGCGGCCAACUAAGUCAUACGUGAAAUCCCUCGGCUUAACCGGGGAACUGCGUCUGAUACUGGAUGGCUUGAGUUCGGGAGAGGGAUGCGGAAUUCCAGGUGUAGCGGUGAAAUGCGUAGAUAUCUGGAGGAACACCGGUGGCGAAGGCGGCAUCCUGGACCGAUACUGACGCUGAGGAGCGAAAAGCCAGGGGGAGCCAAAACGGGG